UACGUAGGGUGCGAGCGUUAAUCGGAAUUACUGGGCGUAAAGCGUGCGCAGGCGGUUGUGUAAGACAGGUGUGAAAUCCCCGGGCUUAACCUGGGAACUGCGCUUGUGACUGCACGGCUAGAGUACGGCAGAGGGGGGUGGAAUUCCACGUGUAGCAGUGAAAUGCGUAGAGAUGUGGAGGAACACCGAUGGCGAAGGCAGCCCCCUGGGCCGAUACUGACGCUGAGGAGCGAAAGCGUGGGGAGCGAACAGG
rnacentral:rRNA from 1 species